AAACUUGAAAAUGGCAGAA
rnacentral:miRNA from 1 species